GUCGAACGAUGAAGGAGAGCUUGCUCUCUGGAUUAGUGGCGAACGGGUGAGUAACACGUGAGUAACCUGCCCUUGACUCUGGGAUAAGCGUUGGAAACGACGUCUAAUACCGGAUACGACCAGCCUCGGCAUCGAGUGUUGGUGGAAAGAAUUUUGGUCAAGGAUGGACUCGCGGCCUAUCAGGUAGUUGGUGAGGUAAUGGCUCACCAAGCCUACGACGGGUAGCCGGCCUGAGAGGGUGACCGGCCACACUGGGACUGAGACACGGCCCAGACUCCUACGGGAGGCAGCAGUGGGGAAUAUUGCACAAUGGGCGAAAGCCUGAUGCAGCAACGCCGCGUGAGGGACGACGGCCUUCGGGUUGUAAACCUCUUUUAGCAGGGAAGAAGCGAAAGUGACGGUACCUGCAGAAAAAGCACCGGCUAACUACGUGCCAGCAGCCGCGGUAAUACGUAGGGUGCAAGCGUUGUCCGGAAUUAUUGGGCGUAAAGAGCUCGUAGGCGGUUUGUCGCGUCUGCUGUGAAAACUGGAGGCUCAACCUCCAGCCUGCAGUGGGUACGGGCAGACUAGAGUGCGGUAGGGGAGAUUGGAAUUCCUGGUGUAGCGGUGGAAUGCGCAGAUAUCAGGAGGAACACCGAUGGCGAAGGCAGAUCUCUGGGCCGUAACUGACGCUGAGGAGCGAAAGGGUGGGGAGCAAACAGGCUUAGAUACCCUGGUAGUCCAC
rnacentral:rRNA from 1 species